UACAGGGGGUGCAAACGUUGCUCGGAAUCAUUGGGCGUAAAGCGCACGUAGGCGGUCUGUUAUGUCGGAUGUGAAAGCCCUUGGCUCAACUGAGGAAGUGCAUCCGAAACUGGCAGGCUAGAGUACUAAAGAGGAUCGCGGAAUUCUCGGUGUAGAGGUGAAAUUCGUAGAUAUCGGGAGGAACACCGGUGGCGAAGGCGGCGAUCUGGGUAGAUACUGACGCUGAGGUGCGAAAGCGUGGGGAGCAAACAGG
rnacentral:rRNA from 1 species